GUUCAGCCUUCGAGUCGAGAAGUCCUCCUCUCCCUUCGACUCCUCCUCAAGGAUUCCAGAGUGCCUUGGAGAUGAGAAUCCACAGAGGUGGCUUCAUGGGAUGUCCUGAUCAAGUACUGAAAUGGAUGUAAUUGAAUUCCUUAAUUAUGAGAGCGAUACUGCAUUGAUACUGGCCCACUCUCUGGCUGAGCAGGAGCGACAACCUACAUUCAGCGCAGCGGCGACCUGCAUGAGGGCGCCCACGUAGGCGUCGCGGCAGGUCUCCUCCAGGGGAGCAGGUCCCUCAGGGGGCUGAGGGGACCACG
rnacentral:lncRNA from 1 species